rnacentral:rRNA from 1 species
UACGAAGGGGGCUAGCGCUGCUCGGAAUCACUGGGCGUAAAGGGUGCGUAGGCGGGUCUUUAAGUCAGGGGGGAAAUCCUGGAGCUCAACUCCAGAACUGCCUUUGAUACUGAGGAUCUUGAGUUCGGGAGAGGUGAGUGGAACUGCGAGUGUAGAGGUGAAAUUCGUAGAUAUUCGCAAGAACACCAGUGGCGAAGGCGGCUCACUGGCCCGAUACUGACGCUGAGGCACGAAAGCGUGGGGAGCAAACAGG